ensembl:lncRNA
GGCCAGCGAUCCCAUGCCAUAGCGGCCACCUGAGCUGAUGCAGUGACCAUGCCUGAUCCUGAACCCCUUGUGCCAUGAGAAAACAACUCGAUUCUCCUUGAAUGCUAGACUUUUCCAUGAACCUUAAAAUUUUUUUUGGUCAUUCAUGUUUGCAUUCAUCUGUCUCCAAUCCGCCAAGAUUUACUCAGCAUCAGCGAUGGCAGUAGACACCGCCCUAACCGCUCUUCCUGUUGUACCUCUAAUCCCCAUGACAACCAGAGGAAAUAGGCAUUGCUUUCCCCACAGAACAUGAUGAAUCCCGUUCACUGAGCAUCUCGGUGUGCCAGGUGCAAGGAACUUCACUGACUUCUCCAUCGCAUGGCCGCUCGGACUCGAAUGCAGGUCUGCAGUCCCAUUUAUCCCACCAUUGGCGCUCGGAUAGGAGAAGGAGGUCAUUCAAGUUCACGUGCCUGGGAAGCGGGGAAGGAGCCAGGGAUCAGCGUGCUCUUUGGGUGGGUCUGCGAGAGCAGGUGGACAGGCGUCUUAGGACUGACCCAGCCUAUGAGGAGGCGCAGAGAGCGUCGAUCUUCUCUGCCCACCCCCGCAACUGCCCUCGAGGAACCCCGUGAGAAGAGCCGGUCCUAAGUGGAAUCCGACCCCCACCUCAUGGGGGUGGGUGGGGCGCGGAAGGAUCUGGAAGAAGAGAAGGGCAGAAGCUCCCUUCAUUCUGGGCCGGUCCUGUGCAGGGCCCUGGGCUGCGCCCCUUGUUUCAGUCUCUGGGGUGUCACACGGCCACUUACGGCGUGUUUUGUCACCCCUGGCAUACUGCUGGCAUCAUUCUUUGCUCUGUGGGGGCCGUGAGGGCUGUGCUCCUUGUAGGAUGUUUAGCAGCCUCUCUGGCCUCUUCCUACUAGAAGUCAGGGCAUCCCACCCCUCCUCGUCCAGUUGUGGAAAACCAAAAGCAUUUCCAGGCAUUACCCAGAGUACCCUGGGAGGCAAAAUUGCCCCCCCCACCUGCCCCAAUAGAAAAACCGCUGCCCUGAGAUGAGCGGUCUCAUGCCAGUUUUGUAGAAAAGGAAAGCCUGGCUCACAGGGAGCAUUCUAAUUUUCAAAGGUUGCUAGUUCUCGAGUAGCAGCAUAGAAGACAGAACUCAGGCCACCUGGUCUCCCAGGCAACAGGGCACUCAAAACAUCACUACCAUUUUGGCAGGUUGGGGUCAUGGAUGUGUCUGGAGGAAUGGGCCGUGCUUUUCAACACCCCCAGCACCCCCUCGCCUUGUUACAGAGCCUUCAGACUCCCAGACUCUGCUGAUUCAUUGUGCCUUCUUAAGAAAUGCCAGUAGGAGUUCCCAUUAUGGCUCAGCGGAAACAAACCUGACUAGUGUCCAUGAGGAUGCAGGUUUGAUCCCUUGGCCUCGCUCAGUGGGUAAAGGAUCCAGCAUUGCCGUGAGCUGUGGUGGAGGUUGCAGACGUGGUUCAGAUCUGGCAUUGCUGUGGCUGUGGUGUAGGCCAGCAGCUGCAACUCCGAUUUGAUCCCUAGCCUGGGGCUUCUGUAUAUUGUAGGUGCAGCCCUAAAAAAGGAAAAGAAAAGAAAUGCCAAUAGACUGGACACACUGAGGCUCUGUCACACCGACCAUGCGUUGUGCAUUGGACGUCCCCGGAAGGGGAAACGGAUCUGCUGUUUCUGAACUCCCGGUGGCACCCCUUCCCUGUGAUUCUUUUUGAGCCUUUUUUAUGUAGAGACUUCCGAUCGUCGGUCCCUCUACCCAGUAGACGAAGGCUGAGCACGUGCAGCCUGUCAAUGCCCACUCUUCAGAGGCCAUGCUUGCCCCUCCUGGGCACUGCCUCCAGGAGCAAUUGCCCAAUUGAAUGCCAUUUGUAGACUCUGCCUCCCAGGGUGCAGGAGGGCCCCUGGGCAAGGAAGCAGUCCAAGCCUCGAUCAAUCCCUUCUUUUAUUCAGGGCAAAGUUACAAAUGGGCCGGAGUCAUUGGAAAGAUUUUCCACCUCACUGUGCAGAGAAGCCCUUAUGAAAGAUGUAUUGAUGAAUCCCCUUGUACCAGAAUGUUACUGGCCUCAGAAAGGCAGGAAAUAAGUAUCUGCUGGCUCUCAUUCUGCCACAGAAACUCUCUUUCAGGUCAGAUUUCCUCUGUGCCCAAGCACAUUUGAUUUAAGUCAUUUCGCUGCAAAAUAUAAAUAAAAUGGAGUUGACUGCUGUAAUGAAAAAGAGAAACACCCUGGUGAUAUAGUUUUGACUUCCAGAAAAUAGGAUGUUGAAACUACAGGCUCAUAGAAUGAAAGGAUUCCCAGGCUCCAGGCACUUAUUGCUUGUGCCACAGAGCAACCACCUGAACGUGGACCGCCAAGGAGACCAGACCCUCAGGUUCAAGACUCAGUUCUGGCUCACGUCAGCAGGGUGGCCUGGAGCCAGUCACUUUGUCUGGGCCUGAGACUCUUCCCUAGAAUGAGGAGGCCGGAAGUACCUUUGGCUUCAUGAAUGUAAGGACUUGAAUGAAUGUGAUUCAGGUCUUGGGGAACUCACUUAUCAAACAGAUACAUUUUACGGCUUGGGUACUCAUGUUCCGUCCUCACAAGGCAUCCUUGUGUUGGUCAGUGGGUUUGGAGAUGGAGCUAUAGGCUACAUGUUUGUACCCACCCCUGCAGGUCCAUACGUUGAAGCCCUAACCCCCAGGGGGAUGGAAUUGGGAGGUGGGGAUUCAGGAAGGUAAGGAUGGUUCACUGAGGCCAUGAGGGUGGAACCCCCCUAAUGGGAUUAGUGCCCAUGCGUGUAAAGGAAAAGAUGCCAGGAGUUCUCCCUGUGGCUCAGUGGGUUAGGGAGCCAACCGCAGCAGCUCAGGUCACUGCAGAGGCACGGCAUGGCACAGUGGGUUAAAGGAUCCAGCAUUGCUGCAGCUGCAGCACAGGUUGCAGCUGCAGCUCAGAUUCAGUCCCUGGCCCUCGGACUUUCGUAUGCCGUUGGCGUUGGAAAAAGUAAAGAUACUAGAGGUCCCUCUUCACUCUGUGAGGAUGCAGUGAGAAGGUACCCGGCUGUGAGCCAGGAAGAGAGCCCUCACCAGCACCUGGCCCUGCCAGCACCCUGAUCUCAGACUCACCCGCUCCCAGAACAGUGGGAGAUGAAUAUCUGUUGUUUAAGACACCCGGUCUGUGGUAUUUUGUUAUAGCAGCACAAAGGAACUAGUGGAUACCUUCAAGUUGGGAGCUUUCAAAGAUGUACACAAAAAAGAUGUUUAAAAAAUCCUUUUCACGGGAGUUCCUGUUGUGGCUCAGCGGAAACGAACCCGACUAGUAUCCAUGAGGACGCAGGUUCCAUCCCUGGCCUCGCCUAGUGGGUGAAGGAUCCGGUGUUGCUGGGAGCUGUGGUGUAGGUCACAUACACAGCUCAGAUCCCGCGUUGCUGUGGCUGUGGUGUAGGCCGGCAGCUACAGCUCCAAUUCGACCCCUAGCCUGGGAACUUCCGUAUGCCGUGGGUGUGGCCCUAAAAAGAAAAAAAAAAAAAAAAA